AGUGAACGCUGGCGGUAGGCCUAACACAUGCAAGUCGAACGGCAGCACAGUAAGAGCUUGCUCUUACGGGUGGCGAGUGGCGGACGGGUGAGGAAUACAUCGGAAUCUACUUUUUCGUGGGGGAUAACGUAGGGAAACUUACGCUAAUACCGCAUACGACCUACGGGUGAAAGCAGGGGAUCUUCGGACCUUGCGCGAUUGAAUGAGCCGAUGUCGGAUUAGCUAGUUGGCGGGGUAAAGGCCCACCAAGGCGACGAUCCGUAGCUGGUCUGAGAGGAUGAUCAGCCACACUGGAACUGAGACACGGUCCAGACUCCUACGGGAGGCAGCAGUGGGGAAUAUUGGACAAUGGGCGCAAGCCUGAUCCAGCCAUACCGCGUGGGUGAAGAAGGCCUUCGGGUUGUAAAGCCCUUUUGUUGGGAAAGAAAAGCAGCAGGUUAAUACCACGCUGUUCUGACGGUACCCAAAGCAUAAGCACCGGCUAACUUCGUG
rnacentral:rRNA from 1 species